rnacentral:lncRNA from 1 species
CAGACUUCUUAUGCCGUUGGAGGGCAGGCUGAAUUGUUUGCAUUAAUUUCCUUGGGUGGAGGACUGCUUGUGCUGCUGGUCCUUCAGCUCCCAUCCCGCGGGAGGACACUCAGCCAGCUCGGCCUGGAGCGGGGAGGCAGUGACGGCUAAACGCAGGGGUGAGCAGCAGCCCUGCCUCGUCGGGCAAUGGGAUGCGAGUGCCUGAAUCACACCAACCUAACUGGCUGAGCAGCUGCAGGUAGGUGCCUUUUGCAGCGCAACUGCAUUGUAGUCCUACAGUUACAAUGUGGACGGUAUAGGACAUAGUGCAGCGACCAGUGGGAGAUCUUAUUCUGUAAGCUCAAAAGUUCAGUGUGUC